UGUUACCAUUAUUAAAUAAAAACACACAAACAAGCUUGAUACAUUUUCUUUACAAACUGCACCUAAUGAUCUCUUUCUAUGUUGAGCCCGAAUGCGUCCAAACAUCACAUCACUACACCUUAUCACACAUUACCAACAUAAUACUAUUGUAAUCAUGCUUAUCAUUCCUUAUCAGUAUGAUUUAUGUGCUCGCGGAUCGAGUUAUCUUAAGUUGCGAAAUAUUAUCAAUACUUUACAGGUAUUUAAUUUACAUCCGUCACGAAGAUUGGGGGCGUUUGGAGAAUAGGUGACUGCUAAAGUGGAAUUGUGAUAAAGGAAAUCUGACAUCGCAACGUAGUCAACGGUCAUCUGACUUUCAAAUAACAUUAAAAAACCCGGCGAGUAUUAUUGAAUCUAAUAUUUUACAAUACAUUACACUUCACAACAUUAAUUACACUGCUCAUUUCCAUGAGUUACGUCUAUACACACAUUGGCAACGCUAGAAUCUCGUUCUAUUUGACAAAAGUGGAAAUAGAACUGACGAUUUGCAUUUCUUGCCCCAGACAGCAUUAAAAACUACAAAAUUCUACUUGAAUAACUCAAAACAUAAUAUAUCAGUGUUUUAGUAAAUAGUGUAAUUUUGUAAAUUAGUAUUAAAGUACCCGCCCCACUACUUCACUUCACCUGUUGGCCUUACUCUCGCUAGAUCAAAGGUUUUCUGUUCUCCUUAUUUAUUUUCAGUACAUCAAAGCACAAAACUUCCACUAUGCAGACCCGUAAGGCUGCAGCUGUAGAAACUGAACUGAAGUUGAGGACAGCCCUAAUUGAUCUGAGGGCAUACAAAGACCAAUGCCAGAAGCUCCUGCAAGAACGUGAGGACAGCGAGGAGGAAGUGGCCAUCAUUGUUAACAAAAAUGCAGCUCUUAAGCGUCAGUUAUUAGAGUUG